ensembl:lncRNA
UAGAAAGCGAAAAUUUCAGAAGAAAUUUUAUGUGUGCCUAUGCCGCUGCUAAUCUGUGUAGUUUUCCAUUCAUACGGCUACAGACAGCAAAACUCAGAAGAGCAGCCAUUCUCCACCAUGAAUUAUGGUAAAAACAAACACCGCUCGCGCCUCACAGAUGACAGCUUACAGUUUUGGGUAAAGAUGAGGUCACUUUGUACAGCCCCGAUUUGCAGACGCUGUGCACACAGGUUCAUAAGCAGAAGUCCCUCUGUACCACGGCAGACCCCGACAAUGUUUGCACGAACACACUUUGAACCAGUACGUUAUGGACCACUUUUCACACAUGGUUGGUGUACCCUCCCAGCCAGCUGUAGCUUUUCAACUCACAGCCCGAC